rnacentral:rRNA from 1 species
UACGUAGGGUGCGAGCGUUGUCCGGAAUUAUUGGGCGUAAAGAGCUCGUAGGCGGUGUGUUACGUCGGCCGUGAAAACCUGCAGCUUAACUGUGGGCGUGCGGUCGAUACGGGCAUCACUGGAGUUCGGCAGGGGAGACUGGAAUUCCUGGUGUAGCGGUGAAAUGCGCAGAUAUCAGGAGGAACACCGGUGGCGAAGGCGGGUCUCUGGGUCGAUACUGACGCUGAGGAGCGAAAGCGUGGGGAGCAAACAGG